CGCAUGGCACUUGAGAGGGCUGCCAAGGAUGCUAUACCAUAGUCUUGCUUUUUGAUUUCUUUACUAAUAAAAUGACUCAAACUUGGAACUUUGUUCUCAACAUAGUCCCCAAGGAUUAAAUGCUCAACAUCACCCCCAAAUAACUUCUCCACUGAUUUAACAAGAACUUGACUAACUCGAUUAUUCGGAAUGCUUGAAAGCUGAAAACAGUCUUCUGCAAUAAAUAUCUGCCUUGGUCUAACCAGAUCCACAUCAGGCAAUUGAAGUAGAAUGCGACCAACUCGAUUCAAAAUCACUGGAUCCCUAGCAAACCAUCCCACAGUAUCAAAACUCUGUGCCAUGGGAAUAACUCCAGCAGUAGAAACAGCAUCAUGUGAAGGUCGAAACCCCAAAAUGCUGCAAUAUGAUGCUGGAACUCUUACACUUCCUCCAGUGUCAGUUCCUAAGGAGAAGUCUACAAGCUUUGCACCUACUGCAACAGCAGACCCACUGGAAGAUCCUCCAGGUACACGAUCUGGAGCACAAGGAUUUGUAGGUGUGCCAUAAUGUUUAUUAUCCCCAUCUAGACUAUAUGCCAUUUCAUCCAUGACAGUUUUACCAACACAUGUGGCUCCUCCUCUCAAGAUAGCCAAAACAGCCGGAGCA
rnacentral:misc_RNA from 1 species